rnacentral:rRNA from 1 species
GAUGAACGCUGGCGGCGUGCCUAAUACAUGCAAGUAGAACGCUGAAGCUUGGUGCUUGCACCGAGCGGAUGAGUUGCAAACGGGUGAGUAACGCGUAGGUAACCUGCCUCUUAGCGGGGGAUAACUAUUGGAAACGAUAGCUAAUACCGCAUAAAAGUUGACAUUGCAUGAUGUUGAUUUGAAAGAUGCAAUUGCAUCACUAAGAGAUGGACCUGCGUUGUAUUAGUUAGUUGGUGAAGUAACGGCUCACCAAGGCGACGAUACAUAGCCGACCUGAGAGGGUGAGCGGCCACACUGGGACUGAGACACGGCCCAGACUCCUACGGGAGGCAGCGGUAGGGAAUCUUCGGCAAUGGACGGAAGUCUGACCGAGCAACGCCGCGUGAGUGCAGAAGGUUUUCGGAUCGUAAAGCUCUGUUGUAAGAGAAGAACGAGUGUGAGAGUGGAAAGUUCACACUGUGACGGUAACUUACCAGAAAGGGACGGCUAACUACGUG